rnacentral:rRNA from 1 species
UACGUAGGGUGCAAGCGUUGUCCGGAAUUAUUGGGCGUAAAGAGCUCGUAGGCGGUUCGUCACGUCGGCUGUGAAAUCCCGAGGCUCAACCUCGGGUCUGCAGUCGAUACGGGCGGACUUGAGUACUGCAGGGGAGACUGGAAUUCCUGGUGUAGCGGUGAAAUGCGCAGAUAUCAGGAGGAACACCGGUGGCGAAGGCGGGUCUCUGGGCCAAAACUGACGCUGAGGAGCGAAAGCGUGGGGAGCGAACAGG